rnacentral:rRNA from 1 species
GACGAACGCUGGCGGUGUGCUUAACACAUGCAAGUCGAACGGUAAGGCCCUUUCGGGGGUACACGAGUGGCGAACGGGUGCGUAACACGUGAGUAACCUGCCCUCAUCUCUGGGAUAACAGUCGGAAACGGUUGCUAAUACUGGAUAUGAGCUUGCAAGGCAUCUUGUGGGUUGGAAAGAUUUUUUUGGUUGGGGAUGGACUCGCGGCCUAUCAGCUUGUUGUUGAGGUAGUGGCUCACCAAGGCUUCGACGGGUAGCCGGCCUGGGAGGGCGACCGGCCACAUUGGGACUGCGAUACGGCCCAGACUCCUACGGGAGGCAGCAGUGGGGAAUAUUGCACAAUGGACGGAAGUCUGAUGCAGCAACGCCGCGUGCGGGAUGACGGCCUUCGGGUUGUAAACCGCUUUCAAUUGUGACGAAGCUUUUUGUGACGGUAGCAGUAGAAGAAGCACCGGCUAACUACGUG